rnacentral:rRNA from 1 species
UACGGAGGGUGCGAGCGUUGUCCGGAAUCACUGGGCGUAAAGCGCGCGCAGGCGGUUCUGUAAGUCCUGGGUGAAAUCGCCCGGCUCAACUGGGCGGGGGCCUGGGGGACUGCGGGACUGGAGGGGCCUAGAGGCCGGUGGAACUCCCGGUGUAGUGGUGAAAUGCGUAGAGAUCCGGAGGAACACCCGUGGCGAAGGCGGCCCCCUGGGCCGCGCCUGACGCUGAGACGCGAAAGCGCGGGGAGCGAACGGG